CCCUAGCCCUGAUUGAACGGAAAGCCCCGAAAAACAAAAGCUCUUUUUUCCCGCAGAAAAGUGCGACCGGAGGAAGCACCUUUGAUGCGUUUUGAAAAAAUAGCUUUUAUUUGAGGGCUUGCAGUGAAAGCAGGAACAGCU
rnacentral:misc_RNA from 1 species